rnacentral:ribozyme from 1 species
UUUUUUUUUUUUUUUUUUUUUUUUGUGUUUUUCCUUCUUGCGA